UACAGAGGUCCCAAGCGUUGUUCGGAUUCACUGGGCGUAAAGGGGGCGUAGGUGGUCGAGUAAGUCUGAUGUGAAAUCUUCGAGCUCAACCCGAAAAUGGCAUUGGAUACUAUUCGGCUGGAGGGUUGGAAGGGGGACUGGAAUUCUCGGUGUAGCAGUGAAAUGCGUAGAUAUCGAGAGGAACACCGGUGGCGAAGGCGAGUCCCUGGACAAUCCCUGACACUGAGGCACGAAAGCUAGGGGAGCAAACAGG
rnacentral:rRNA from 1 species